rnacentral:rRNA from 3 species
UUCAUGGAGAGUUUGAUCCUGGCUCAGGACGAACGCUGGCGGCGUGCCUAAUACAUGCAAGUCGAGCG